rnacentral:rRNA from 1 species
AGAGUUUGAUUAUGGCUCAGGAUGAACGCUGGCGGCGUGCCUAACACAUGCAAGUCGAGCGAUUCUCUUCGGAGAAGAGCGGCGGACGGGUGAGUAACGCGUGGGUAACCUGCCCUGUACACACGGAUAACAUACCGAAAGGUAUGCUAAUACGAGAUAAUAUGCUUUUAUCGCAUGGUAGAAGUAUCAAAGCUUUUGCGGUACAGGAUGGACCCGCGUCUGAUUAGCUAGUUGGUAAGGUAACGGCUUACCAAGGCGACGAUCAGUAGCCGACCUGAGAGGGUGAUCGGCCACAUUGGAACUGAGACACGGUCCAA